rnacentral:lncRNA from 1 species
ACCUGAGAAAUACUCGGAAAUCAAUCUUGCGGGGACCUUCUGAGCAAAUGCAUAGGAUGAUCGUGAUACACUAGGAUGGACUUGGGCCUUAGUGACGAUAAAAUGGAUCUAGACUAGUUAAAACUUGUUAUGUACUUUGUUUCUUUUUAUUUUAAGACAAUGUAACUUGUGGGUUCUCGUUUGAAACAAUGUAUUCCACCCUUGGGUGAUGAAUAAAAUAUUAUUUAAAUUACUUUGGUUGUGGAACAAUAAUUCUGUUACAACACUCCCCGACGUUUCCGCCACGAUUUGAUGUUUUACGUGGUCGGGGUGUGACAUCAUAGCUCCUAAUCAUUUUAGUGCUUACGUGUCUUUUAAACUUCUUAUGAAAAAAUGGCGUUGCAUGAAUUGGUAAAGUAAGAAUAAUUCAAUUUUCUGAAAAAAAAAUUGUGACGGUUGAUUUUUCAAAUUUUCUGUAUUGAAUUUUAUCUUUAUGCAUGUUACUUUUCGCCCUUUUUGUUUUUUUAAAUUAAAAACAAUGAAGAAAGAAAAAUAAAAAACAGACUCUACACAGCUAAGAAUUUAUACAUAUGGGAUAUGCAUGAAGAUGGAGAGUUGUUUGAUGAUCAGUGAUCAUUUUGGUAUUUUCUGA